UUGCUUUCAAGGAUCUUCAAGUUCUUCGUCUCAAGGCUUGUCAUCCAUCUUUUACAGUGGUUAAAUUGCACGCUUGCUUUUAAGCGUUAUCAUUUUCGUAAGGAAAUAGGCCGCAUGGGUCAAGAACAGUACCGCAAGGGGAAAAAAAACGGCUUGCUAAUAGUAAAUAUUGAGCUAAAAGUGUAGCUGGUGAUAAUUUGCUAUAAAACUUAAUAGCGACACCAAUCACUCAUACAAUUACGAGUCGGUCAAUCGCCAAUCAGAAGUAUGUCAAUCGCCAAUCAAUAGUGAUCACACACAUGAAGCAAUACCUAUUGCAUGAAUAGCCAUAAUCAUUUACAACAUAUCAAUAAUUAUUGUCAUGAUGCAAAGAUAGACCAGUUUGAAAAGUUAACUUUCUGUUCAUUUUUUUGUAUGUCGUAUGCUAUAAUACAGCGUUUUAUAUAUUUAAA